UACAGAGGUCCCAAGCGUUGUUCGGAUUCACUGGGCGUAAAGGGUGCGUAGGCGGUCGGGUAAGUCUGACGUGAAAUCUUCGAGCCUAACUCGGAAACUGCGUCGGAUACUAUUCGGCUAGAGGAAUGGAGGGGAGACUGGAAUACUUGGUGUAGCAGUGAAAUGCGUAGAUAUCAAGUGGAACACCAGUGGCGAAGGCGAGUCUCUGGACAUUUCCUGACGCUGAGGUGCGAAAGCGUGGGGAGCAAACAGG
rnacentral:rRNA from 1 species